rnacentral:rRNA from 1 species
GACGAACCGUGCAAACGUUAUUCGGAAUCACUGGGCUUAAAGGGCGCGUAGGCGGGCCGCCAGGUCCGGGGUGAAAGCCUCCAGCUUAACUGGAGAAGUGCCUUGGAUACCGGCGGCCUCGAGGGAGGCAGGGGCGUGCGGAACUUCGGGUGGAGCGGUGAAAUGCGUAGAUAUCCGAAGGAACACCGGUGGCGAAAGCGGCGCGCUGGACCUCUUCUGACGCUGAGGCGCGAAAGCCAGGGGAGCAAACGGG